UACGGAAGGCAGCAGUGGGGAAUAUUGCACAAUGGGCGCAAGCCUGAUGCAGCCAUGCCGCGUGUAUGAAAAAGGCCUUCGGGUUGUAAAGUACUUUCAGUCGUGAGGAAGGUGUUAAGGUUAAUAACCUUAGCAAUUGACGUUAGCGACAGAAGAAGCACCGGCUAACUCCGUGCCAGCAGCCGCGGUAAUACGGAGGGUGCGAGCGUUAAUCGGAAUUACUGGGCUAAAGGGCACGCAGGCGGUUAAUUAAGUUGGAUGUGAAAUCCCCGGGCUUAACCUGGGAAUGGCAUUCAAGACUGGUUAGCUAGAGUCUUGUAGAGGGGGUUAGAAUUCCAUGUGUAGCGGUGAAAUGCGUAGAGAUGUGGAGGAAUACCGGUGGCGAAGGCGGCCCCUGGACAAAGACUGACGCUCAUGUGCGAAAGCGUGGGGAGCAAACAGGGAUUAGAUACC
rnacentral:rRNA from 1 species